rnacentral:misc_RNA from 1 species
UCCGAGUUGACCCCGGCAGUCUCCUGAGAGUGCCCGGCAUUACCCGGUAGCAACACAGGACAGGGGUUGCGCUCGUCGCGGGACUUAACCCAACAUCUCACGACACGAGCUGACGACAGCCAUGCACCACCUGUGAUGGUGUCCCGAAGGAAAGAUGUGUUUCCACACCGGUCACCAACAUGUCAAACCCAGGUAAGGUUCUUCGCGUUGCGUCGAAUUAAACCACAUGCUCCGCUGCUUGUGCGGGUCCCCGUCAAUUCCUUUGAGUUUUAGCCUUGCGGCCGUACUCCCCAGGCGGGGUGCUAAAUGCGUUAGCGUCGGCACCGCAGGGGUCAAUACCCGCGACACCUAGCACCCACCGUUUACGGCGUGGACUAC